ensembl:lncRNA
GGUUUUAUAUGUUUACAGUUUUUUAAUCUUUGUAAUUCUUUUAAAAAUCUGUCUGUAAUGAAUAUAAAGUUUACCGACAGGGAAAGCAACCGGUUUAAUGUUGUAAAACUCCUUUUUGACCCACAACAGGGCAAAAUGUCACAGUCCAUCGUGAGCUUUUCGAUAGUGCACUUUAUGCCUUAUUAUAAUAGCAACAGCAUUCUGUACAGAUUGACAAAUAAAAGUCUGUAAAGCUGAGCACUGCUGCCAUGCCCCUCUUUGCUCCUCGCUGAACAUCCAGUUGCAGUGGUUGGCUCUUCAUCCCCGUGCCGCGUGUGCAACGCCUUAUCCUCACCCGCCGGGAGCUGUGGCAUGGCAGGGCCAGAUCCGGCUGCUCCGGCACACCGUGCUUGUCUCCAUCUCACCCAGUGACCAUGUCCCUGCCAGCUGGUCAGAAAGUUCCAGACAAUGGAGGCUUCAAAACUGCCGCAUCAGUGUCCCACCUAACUCCAGAUAACCAAAGAAGUAAAGAGGAAAGAAGGAAGGUGGGCCCAGCCGGGGCUGCGUGAGCAGGCAGCUGGGGAGGUGCUGUGGCGGGAGGUGGGUGUCGAGGGCCUGUCCACCAUAACCGUGUGCAUCACCAGUUCAGUACCACGUCCUCACCCCACGGCUCGGCUGUGGCCAGGGCAGGACAGCAGGCAGUGCCAGGUCCAGCACCAGCCAUGGGGACACUGUGGGGUAUGAGAUCCCCAGAAUGCACUGGUGGAGGUGGGUGAUGAGUGGAGAGACAGGAGCAGUGCUCCCGGUGGGCUGUGGGCUGGGCAUGGCUGCCUCGGUGAUGGCUUCACCUCACCUUCCGGAAGGGACACCAGCCACCUUUGACGAGCUCUACUACCUCCCAAAUGCAAUAUGAAGGUAUGCCACGAGGUUAUGGCUUUUAACAUCACCUUGCUGCCACUGUCACAUGAAUCAAAGCAUGACGGCAGUGCCACAGAGGGUGGGGAUCCGGGCUGGAGCAGAGGCUGUCUGCUCCUAUUACCUGUUUCCGUAGUACCGGGUGUAAUGGGGACCCAAUUUGCAAUUCAGGUUUCAGACUGUUACUGCUAUAGCAGUAAUAAAAGUGCCCCCGAGGUGGCCAAAUCAGCUGCAGUAACAUUGCACUGGUGCCAGAUGUAGCCUGUGGUGUGCAACCAAUGGUUAGUAAGAGGUUAAGAGAGUAAGUGUAUUUAUAGAUAUGACAAUCCAUCAGAUUAAAGAUCUGGGAGACUUUCUAACUGAAAGCAAACAUUAAAUUAAUUGUUGCUCUAUUUUACAGGAUUCUUCUUAAUCGUAUCUUUUUAAUUUUGAAGGAUUCAUCGUCAUGUGCUAUAUUCACAGGGACUAUUUUCCCCAUGUUAAUAAGUCCUGGCAAGGUCAAGAGUCCUGUAGACUGCAGGGAGGAAUGGUAACCAUGGCUGGAAGAGCUCUUGAGAAGUCCUUUUCUGGUCGUCUGGAAUUUCAUUCAGUCUCCAUCAGGCCUCAAAGAUAAUUGCUCAUGGCUGUGAGAUAACUUCACUCAGUUCCCUGAGCACUCUGGGGUAAAUUUUAUGAGGCCUACAGGGUUUGAAGAUAUGUAAUGUAACUGUGUAGCCUUUUUCUGCUCUUUACCAGCCUAAGUUCUUAAUAAAUCCUAAAGUCUGUGAAUAGUCUCAA